UGGGGAAUUUUGGACAAUGGGGGCAACCCUGAUCCAGCAAUGCCGCGUGUGUGAAGAAGGCCUUCGGGUUGUAAAGCACUUUUGUCCGGGAAGAAAUCCCCUGCCCUAAUACGGCGGGGGGAUGACGGUACCGGAAGAAUAAGCACCGGCUAACUACGUGCCAGCAGCCGCGGUAAUACGUAGGGUGCGAGCGUUAAUCGGAAUUACUGGGCGUAAAGCGUGCGCAGGCGGUGAUGUAAGACCGAUGUGAAAUCCCGGGCUCAACCUGGGAACUGCAUUGGUGACUGCAUUGCUCGAGUAUGGCAGAGGGGGGUGGAAUUCCACGUGUAGCAGUGAGAUGCGUAGAGAUGUGGAGGAACACCGAUGGCGAAGGCAGCCCCCUGGGCCAAUACUGACGCUCAUGCACGAAAGCGUGGGGAGCAAACAGGAUUAGAUACCCUGGUAGUCCACGCCCUAAACGAUGUCAACUGGUUGUCGGGCCUUCAUUGGCUUGGUAACGUAGCUAACGCGUGAAGUUGACCGCCUGGGGAGUACGGUC
rnacentral:rRNA from 1 species